CUCUAAUUGCUGCCAUUACAUCCUACAAUCCAUCAUUAUAUACUACAAUCCCGUCAACAUAAUAUUAUUGAGGAAAAAAAUAAUAAUCUCAUUUAUAAACAACUAAAAAUUCCCAAUUAUCUCUAUGAUCUCAAUGGUUUGGACAAGUUCCAUACAAACACAAAUACAUAUAAACAAGACAACACAAAACGGGGCAUGAACCUUGUCAAAAAUGGACUCUCAGUAACUAAAAUUGGAGAACUAAUAAUGCAGUCUUAACUCAAAAAACAUUUGAAUAGUCCAUAUUUCUAGGAUAAGUCGUUACCAUUAUCAACAUCACCUGCAGAGAAGUAAAUAGCCAAUCAAUCAAUCUCCACAAUUCCCAAUAUUUAUUAAUUGCACACAAUAACAAAGCAAACCUUAAACAUAAUGGAGUCUGAUAAGAACAAAUACCAAAGUUAAUUUGAAUUCACACCAGCAUCUACAGGAGGUUCCUCCAUCAUUGUUAUUGGUUCUUUGUCGAUAGGCAACAACAUCCUCUCUGUCCAGCAUGUUACAAUUCAUUAUCUCUGGUUGCAUACACGGUUGCUGAAGUUGUAUCGAUGGAAAUAGCCUCUAAUAAGUGGACAAUGGCUUCCCACACAUUCAUUCUAAUUCCUUCAGAGUUGGCCUCCAUGGCUUUGGGUCACCCAUCUGCAAACAGACAUUCCCAUAUGCCAUAGAAGGGGGGAAAACAUAUGCAAAUAAUUAUCAGGUUCCAUGAAUAAAAUAAAGUCAAACGCACAAAGGAUGAAAUUCGCCAACAAUACCAUCUGAGGAGGAUCAUUAUGAGGCUCAACAGUCUAGCCCUCAAUCUCAAUGCUCGAUUCGAUUAGCUCUUCCUGCACCUUUUCUUCCUCUUUGGGCUCUCUUUGUGGUCCAUCCUUAUCCUCAAUGUCCUCAUCCGCGCAAUAGCUUUUCUUUAACCCCAAGUACAUCAAACGUUAACACGUAAGAAAAUAAGUACACAAUUGCACAUAACUGAAAAAGAAAAACAGUGGAAAGGAAGCAAAGAAACAGCACCGAUUUGGAGCCUGCGUGAUUGUAAGAAAAGGGAGAGAGCUUAGCACCAAGACUGAAGGGAUAUAUCCGAGAAAACCAAGACUGGAAAAUUGCUCUGUGGGCUCAUCACUGUUCACGCGCAUACCAGAUUAUUGUUUUUAGAUCUCCUUCCCUAUCGACUUUUGGCGGA
rnacentral:misc_RNA from 1 species